rnacentral:rRNA from 1 species
AGGGUUUGAUUCUGGCUCAGGACGAACGCUGGCGGCGCGCCUAACACAUGCAAGUCGAACGGAGUUAAGAGGAGCUUGCUUUUCUUAACUUAGUGGCGAACGGGUGAGUAACGCGUGAGUAACCUGCCCUGGAGUGGGGGACAACAGUUGGAAACGACUGCUAAUACCGCAUAAGCCCACGGAACCGCAUGGUUCUGAGGGAAAAGGAUUUAUUCGCUUCAGGAUGGACUCGCGUCCAAUUAGCUAGUUGGUGAGGUAACGGCCCACCAAGGCGACGAUUGGUAGCCGGACUGAGAGGUUGAACGGCCACAUUGGGACUGAGACACGGCCCAG